GGAUGUAAUCAUACCAAUACUAAUGCACCGGAUCCCAUCAGACUCCGAAGUUAAGCGUUCUUGGGCGAGAGUAGUACUAGGAUGGGUGACCCCCUGGGAAGUCCUCGUGUUUCAUCCC
rnacentral:rRNA from 1 species